rnacentral:rRNA from 1 species
AGAGUUUGAUCCUGGCUCAGAUUGAACGCUGGCGGCAUGCCUUACACAUGCAAGUCGAACGGCAGCACGGGCUUCGGCCUGGUGGCGAGUGGCGAACGGGUGAGUAAUGCAUCGGAACGUGCCCAUUUGUGGGGGAUAACUACGCGAAAGCGUGGCUAAUACCGCAUACGCCCUGAGGGGGAAAGCGGGGGAUUCUUCGGAACCUCGCGCAAUUGGAGCGGCCGAUGUCAGAUUAGCUUGUUGGUGAGGUAGAGGCUCACCAAGGCGACGAUCUGUAGCGGGUCUGAGAGGAUGAUCCGCCACACUGGGACUGAGACACGGCCCAGACUCCUACGGGAGGCAGCAGUGGGGAAUUUUGGACAAUGGGGGCAACCCUGAUCCAGCCAUGCCGCGUGAGUGAAGAAGGCCUUCGGGUUGUAAAGCUCUUUCAGCCGGGAAGAAAACGCACUCUCUAACAUAGGGUGUGGAUGACGGUACCGGAGGAAGAAGCACCGGCUAACUACGUGCCAGCAGCCGCGGUAAUA